rnacentral:antisense_RNA from 1 species
AAAGCCUGGGCCCGUGGGGGACGCACAUGGUCCUGUUCGUACUCCAGGAUGGCGGCGUAAAGGGCCCGCUGCUCCCGUUCCUCCGGGGUCAGGGCGACUUGGCUGCAAAACCUCCUGGGGAGAAAGGCACGCGGUGGGUGCCGGGGCCAGGCCCUCCCCGCAGCGGCCCCAGGGGCGGGCAGGAGUCCCACCUGUUGGCGGCCUCCUGGAGCCGCAGCCGGCGCUCCUCCAUCUUUCUCUGGAGCUGGGUGCAGAGUCAAGGGGCCGAGCGUGGGAUCUGAGCGGGCCCUCGGUUCCCAACCCCGUCCCACACCCGGAGAGGCCGGGACGUCCCAGGGACCCCCUCUCGGUGAGGGGCUGUCCCCAGGGAGGCCUCCUCCAGUGGCGUCAGCUCUCUGGAAAUGUGACAAGCUGCUGUCUAGACCCCAGGAAGCCCAGUGGUGUCUGGACACCAGAGGAGUCUCUCUCAUCCUCCCGGAUUGCUCUGAGGCCAGGAGCUUUGUGACUCUGCCCCCUGAAGCUUCUGGAAGAUCUCGGGUGGCAGAAAAGGAGAGAGCUUUCCUCCUUCAUCGGAGUAUACACGGCGGUGUCGUCCGGCAGGCUGGGGGAUGGGAGCAGCUGCAGGCAUGGUUGGCUUCAGGCGUGUUUUCCCUGCAAGCCAUGGGUAGCCAGGGGUCAAGCGGUGGGCCACAUCCCACAGAGGAGAUGCGGGCUUGGGGGAUGCCCCAGGAGAGCCGCCUACUGCAAGAGACCCACCAAGCUUGGCGGCCGUCGACUGGGCCCUCUCCAGACACUGCUGUGCUAGCUUCAGCAUCUUGGAGGUGUCGGGGGGCACAGUUUCCCCAGCUUCUGGGGGAGGGACAAGAAGGCUGGUCACAGUCGGCUCUACCACUGUUACUUACUAUUGAGAUAAAAUGAGGCAACGGAAAAGGCCUCUGGGAAGUGGCCAUUUUACAGAGACAAGGACGUGCUGAGGGGAUCGCCUCACCCAUCUCCCACCGGCUGUGUCCCCAAAGUCCUGCCUUCCCGUAGCUUGGCAUGGAGCACCUCUGCGCGACCAUGGACCUGCUCACACAGCCCUUCUGCGCGCCGUGGGAGCUGCCUCUCUGUGACUCGCCCCCGGACCCACCGCCCCAGCGCCUGACCCACCUCCCUGCCGCCUUUCACAGAAAACUUCUCAUAGACUCCCGUUUUCUCAUCCCGCCCCGACUUAGCCCCCGACUCCCCCCGGAAACUGCCCUUACCCGUCCCCACCUUGCCAGACACGGUGGGCCACUGGAGUUCCUCUGUCUUCUGGGACUUGGCUCUCCCCAGGGGAUCCUCUGCCACUCCUCCACCCAACUCCUCAAUCUUGGAGCGCCAGAGCUCAGCCGAGCUCACCGGCUCCCUAGGGAGCUGGGGCAACUGUUAGCUCCCCCUGACCUGUGUGAUCCCACGUCCAGUGGCUGCCCCGACCUCCGUGCUCCCACGUCCAGGGGCUCCCCCGACCUCCGUGCUCCCACGUCCAGGGGCUCCCCCGACCUCUGUGAUCCCACGUCCGGGGGCUCCCCCGACCUCUGUGCUCCCACGUCCGGGGGCUCCCCCGACCUCCGUGCUCCCACCCCCGACCUCCGUGCUCCCACGUCCGGGGGCUCCCCCGACCUCCGUGCUCCCACGUCCGGGGGCUCCCCCGACCUCCGUGCUCCCACGUCCAGUGGCUCCCCCUGACCUCUGUGCUCUAUGUCCAGUGGCUCCCCCUGACCUCUGUGAUCCUAUGUGCAGCGGCUGCUGGCCUCUCAAACUUAAUGUGUUCAUUGCGGAACUUGC